AAGGUUGCAAUAUUGUAGGUGUAGGAUAGGACAGCUCCCUGUAAACUCCUCCAUGUUCCCCUCUCUCUCUCUCUUUUCUCUCUCCUUUCUCUUUGUGAUGUUGCUGUUGCAAGCCUGCUUUUGGUGGAGAACCUGAUGCCUGGGAUGAGGAUGAGUUGAGUGGGUGCUGGUUUCUUCUUAUCUUCUAUUUCUCCCAGAGAUCCACAUACAAGAGAAGAGAAGAGAAGAGAAGCUGCUUUCCUCCUCCUCGUCUUCUUCUCCUCCUCUUCCUCUUCCUCGCCACUCAUGGCAUAGCAAGCUGCCUCCUUUCCCCUCUCAAACUCGCUCGAUCUGUCUGGUUCUUUAGGAUCCAUGAGAAAGCAUCAAAUCAAUUGUAGAGAGAGGAAAAAGUUGGGCCUUCUUCUUGCCUGAUUGGAAGCUUUUUCUUCUUCUUUUUUUAUGUCCUUGGUUAUGCUGGAGGCCAAUCAGCAGAGAAGGCCCUGUAGCAGCAAAGCUCUUGGGCUCGUAGGGUUUGAAGAUUCAGGGAGGGACGCUGAAGAGGGCUUCUGCAGAUGUUAUCAUCCAUCGAAACUCCUCCAGAUCCUUCAUGUUCCUCAGAUCUCGCAGCACUGAAAUCUCAUGAGAAGGCUCCUGAAACGAUUGCCUUCGAAGAGGCAGAAAGAGUAGAACUUGAAGAAAAUCCAACCUCUAAAUUUUCCAUUAGGAAUUAUGUUCUUGCAUCGCGGCGGCGUAGCUGCAUCGAGACUAGUUGGCCUUUUUCGCAGCAGUUCCUCCAAAUUUGCAUGAAGCAUGGUGUCAAGAAUCUACUUCCACCAUUUGAACCUCCUGAUCUGGUGAGAUCCCAGUGCUUGAGAAAGUCAGAACAACUUAUUGUCGAACCCGAAGCCGAAGCCGAAGUCGAUCCUAUUGAGCCUAGAAAUGUUGGUGCCAUCAUCUGGAAGACUUCAGAUAUCAGAUUGGAAUCGCCUUUACUUUUAAAGGAAUUCGAUUCAAACUCUUCUGAUCCAGCUAUAGAGUCGACGUCUGAGGCCGAAAUAUCUCCACUGGAUGAAGGAACAAAUUCAGAUGAACUGAUUCAACAUGACCAUGAUGCUGAACUCAUUUGUUCCGUAGCCGAUAGCACUGAAGCAUCACCGGAUUUUGAUUCUCUUGUGCCUAGACAGAAGUUGGAGAAGCUACAGAAGCCACUCGAAAAGAAGUGCAGAUUGAAAGUUAAGCUGGGUGUUAUCUCCGAGAUCAAUAAGGAAGGCAACACACUAGAUAAUUCCGGUUCCGUUUCGGAUCCUAUGGCUUCGAAGAUUUGUCCAGUUUGUAAAGCAUUUUCAUCCAGUUCGAACACUACUUUGAAUGCGCACAUCGACCAGUGUCUCUCCAUGGACUCAAAUGUGAAGGGCAUUUCAGGCGAGGUCCCAAAGAUUAAAGCUAAACAAAGGAAGAAGAGAUUGAUGACCGAGAUUUACAUGACAGCUCCUCGUGCCACUCUUGAAGACCUUGAUAGGAGAAAUGGUACAAAUUGGGCCGUGGAGCUCGCUUUGCUGGCAACACCAACCAGUGGGGUUGCCAAUGAGACCAAGAGACCCAAGAUGUCUGCAACUGAAUGUCUAGAGAAUGGAAAUGACAGUGCUGUUUAUGUUGACUCAAAAGGUAUGAAACUUGGGAUUUUGUCGAAGAUUAAUGAACCAGCACCGGAUGACCUUAAUAUGUGGAAGAAUGCAAUUGCAGAACCAGGAAAUUGUAUUUUGCAAAGAAAGAAGAAGGAUUUAGCACUGAAACACUUGAAGGAUACUAAAAUGAAGGCACAAAAAAGGAAACUGUUAUUCAAACAGUCUAAAACUCAGUUUGCAGCCACAUUUGAUGAUGAUGAUCAAUCUGCUGUCCAUCAGCAAGAUCAUGUUCAGCCAGCUGCAUUGCAUACUGAGAAACAAGUUGAGAGCACUGCUCCUGCAACUUCGAAACCUUGGGUUUGCUCUAUACAAUCAGAUAUCCCGAUAAAUGUUCCUAAAAGCAGAAGUGAGAGCGUGGACAACACAACACUAGUACAUAGGAGCAUUUUGGCGGAGAAUCACCAAUGGAAUUCUUCAGCUGUCAGUAGUGAAGCCAAUAAAUUCUUUAGGUCAUCAGAAGUAUUGACUGGUUCUCCGAAAAUGAAGAGAGUUGAUUGCUUGUAUAAUGACAAUCGCCUCACAAAUGAUAUGAAAGGGAAGUCUUCAGAAAUACCUAUUUCCAAUCACAAAUGGUCUUCGAGAGGUGCUUGUUCAACUAUUGGUCUCCUCAAAUCGUCAAAGCCAUCUGAUAAGUUCCUAUCUAGUGGAAAAAAACCAGUGGCGAUUGACCUGGGCAUUUGUAAAAAAUCUAACAAGUGUUUGAAUACGUUACAAUCUCCGUUGGAGGAAGAAGCUAUUUUCACUUCCAAAAAGGAAAUCCUAGUUAAGAGACCGUAUUUCCAUUUGGAAGGAAGUAAAGGUGAGUCAAAUGAAAAGGCACUUAAGACCUUUAAGUUCCGUAAGCACAGAUCGGCUUUGAGAACUUGCAAGAGAGGACCACCAUUUUUACUACCUAAUGAUGGAGUGCAUGGAACUACCAAUAAUUUGAUUGUGAGAAGAAAUAGGGCAGUACACAAUCAUGAAUUUGGUUCGCUGAAUAAUUUUACUAAUAACCAUGAGUUUCCAAUCCGAGGCAAUAACACAGAGUCUGAGAGACCAGGAUUAUCAAAGACAGUUGAAGAGCGAGAACACAAUAAUUUGAUACACCCUGCAAUACCUCGGUGCAACAAUAGUCAAGUUGAAGACUCAGAUGCUCUAGUAGAAGAUCAGAGUCACGGAGCACCAGGAGAAGCUGGUGGUGAUCAUGUUUCCAAUGAUUUUGUCAACUCAGAUAAACUGGAAAUUAGUUUCAGAAACAAAUCAUGUUCUUCUCGACAUGCAGUUGGCAAAGUCCAUGUAGAUAACUUUGAGAAAAGAUCUGGCCAGCAAGAAUUCAUUUGCAAUGAUGUAUCCUGCGAAGAUGUUGAAUAUGAAGAUAUUCAAAUGGAAGUUGCCACUGUAGACAAAGAUGUUGAAGUCUCUUGUGCAGUUCUAUUAAAAAAAUAUCAAGCUGAAACCACAUCUGCUCAAGAUUCUAUCGGUUGUCUAACUAGUCACGGGGGUAUGGAACUCAAGGUGCCCUCUAAGAGCCCAUCAAUGACUUCAUUAAUAUCAGCUGAAAAUCACCAUAGGCAUUUGCACCUGGACACUGGCCAAUCUGGAUCACCAACUUCUGCAGGAUCUUAUGUCUCCUUAAUGCCUUAUGAAGGCUCCAGAUCGAAAGAUCCAGAACCUGAACUCUCAAUGAGGAGUUUUGAAUCUCAGACUGCUGAACUCACUGAGAAUACUGAACAAAGAAAUUUCAAUAGUAGAGAACACAAGAAGGAUGAUCUAGCAGAAACAACACCUAAGAAAUGCUUGAAUGAGAAGCCAUUUUGCUGUUCAUGCAGGGAGAGCAUUUCGAAAGAUUUACAGUUACCAAGCCAUAAUGAAACUUCCAGGACAACUAAGGAAAAUCGAGUUUCAAACUUGUUUAUUGGGCCAAGAAUAUCUUCCUCCUUCAAAACAUAUCAGAGUCCCAGGAGUAAUAGUAUAUCCAAAUCAUCACAGCAGUCCAAUUACAACAAUUCAAUUGAUUUUUCUGGAAGUUAUGGAUCAUACACUGAUUUAGGUUCUCCAUCACCUCAGUCACUGAACCAAUCCAGUUCUAACCCGGUACUUCGAUUGAUGGGUAAAAACCUAAUGGUUGUAAACAACGAACCGCUUAUGUAUCCUCAAACUAUUGCUCCAGACCAUACACCGUAUGUGAAUUCUGUUUCUACUGGAUUUGCUUCCAUCAACCACCUCAUGCAACAAGAUAGUUCAUAUCACUGCCAUCAACCUAUAGUUGGCUCGCAAGCCAUUCAUCAUGCUUUAUUAACUGGUGACCCCACUGUGUUUCCACAUUUACCUACCAUUGCAAUGGGCAACACUGCCAGGGCUCCUCUUCAUCCUGCUUGGACAAUAAAACCAGAUCAACACAUGCAGCAGACACCAUUCCAAAGGCAUGGCUCUUGCUCUCCUUAUGCGAUGAAUGAGGUGAUUGUCAUUGAUGACCGAUGUUCACAGCAUGAGAAUGAACUCAAAGGCUCCCUAAAGAAUACCACAAACACUUCAUUGCUUAGUGCGUAUGGGCCGAGUGCUUUAGCUCCAAGACCCUUUGCUUGCUUUCCAUUGGAAAGCCAGAAUAGGAAUGUCUCAGGCAGACCUUCAGCUUUAUUUGCUAAUUUUCAACCAGUGACAAAUGCUAGUUUUAUGAAUCAAAGGUUCAGCACACAAAGCCAAGGUGCUCUUAUUCCAUAUCCAAAUUUCCAGGCACCUGCAUCAAGUCGGAUGGGUCCAUCGUUCUAUUAUCCUGCAAUUCUGCGGUGAUCUUGAUAGUGCAAAGAGGCAGAUAACAGAAACCUGUCAUCAAGGAUCAGGUAUUCUCUCUUAUUCAUUACCAGAUCACGAUACUGACAGUUGAUACUGGAAGUUGCACAGAUGACUGCCUAGCAUCCAAGAAUAAGAACCCCGUUCGAUAUGCUGGUUUUCUUAACAAUACUGGAGUAGCUAUUGUAUUAAAAGGGAUGUUUCCGACAAAGAUCUUAAUUUUCGAGUUUUGGUAGGCAUAGCAUGAUGCUCUGAAAAGAACAGCUUCCCUGUUUCUUGCUGACUCUUUAAAGUCACUGCUCCAAAAAAGGAUUGAUAAUUUAGAAAGGCAACAGGAAUCUCUUUGGUCGAGGGCAACUGAGAGUUUUGAAGUUAAACUGCAAAAUCAAACCCAGAACUCAAUCCUCAACUAAUCCAUUCUUUGGAUAAUUAAAAGAGCCAUUGUCUUUGUCUCCAUGUGUGGACCACAAGGGUUUUGAAUUCUCUUAAGAUUUAAGAAUGAGAUCCUUUCCAAGUGGGGAUCGCAAUGGACUACUUUAGUUCCUUUCAUGCCGAAUCUCUCUCAAACAUUACUUGGAAGAUGAGGGAGGGAGUGCUUUCAUGAAUCCUUUUAGCAGUAGAAAGGAAAUGGGGUGUGCUGCUUCUAAGAUUUUAGCUAGAUCAUGGCACUUUCAAGAGGAUCUUGAGAGAAGAUUAAAAAGGAGACCUGCAAAGGGAUUGGAAGAAUUGGUCAGCUACAAAAAUGGAGCGGAGCAUGAGAAGAACUCAACCAUGCCCGUGGAGAGCAAUGCGGUUGUCCAUGUCGAAAUCAUCAAUACUUGGGAUCUGUUGGCUGGCUUAGAAGAAGACGACGACGAAGAAGAAGACAAUGACAAGACGAUUGAGAAAGAAGUCACAACAAACAUUGAUUCAAAGAGAAAAGCUAUGGCCAAGGAGCUCUCAGUGCUUGAGGUUCCUCCUUUUGAGUUCGCGGAGACGGGAAGUCAGAAGGAA